UCUAUGACCAUAGCACCUUGAAUGCUCCAAUCUCCUAUGAUCUCAGAAGUUAAGCAGGAUCAAGCCUGGUUAGUACUUGGAUGGGAGACUGCCAGGGAAUACCAGGUGCUACUGGAA
rnacentral:rRNA from 1 species